AAUUGCCCGAAUCCUGACACAGGGAGGUAGUGACAAGAAAUAACAAUACAGGGCUACUUCUAGUCUUGUAAUUGGAAUGAGUACAACUUACAUCUCUUCACGAGGAUCAAUUGGAGGGCAAGUCUGGUGCCAGCAGCCGCGGUAAUUCCAGCUCCAAUAGCGUAUAUUAAAGUUGUUGCAGUUAAAAAGCUCGUAGUCGGAUUUCGGGGCGGGCCGAGCGGUCUGCCGAUGGGUAUGCACUGUUCGGCGCGUCCUUCUUUCCGGAGACUAGUUCUACUCUUAACUGAGCGGGACUGGGAGACGGAUCGUUUACUUUGAAAAAAUCAGAGUGUUUCAAGCAGGCAGCUCGCUCUUGCAUGGAUUAGCAUGGGAUAAUGAAAUAGGACUCUGGUGCUAUUUUGUUGGUUUCGAACACCGGAGUAAUGAUUAACAGGGACAGUCAGGGGCACUC
rnacentral:rRNA from 1 species